AGAGUUUGAUUCUGGCUCAGGAUGAACGCUAGCUACAGGCUUAACACAUGCAAGUCGAGGGGCAGCAGGACGAUAGCUUGCUAUUGUUGCUGGCGACCGGCGCACGGGUGAGUAACGCGUAUCCAACCUUCCCCUUAGUAGGGCAUAGCCCGGUGAAAAUCGGAUUAAUACCCUAUGUUGUGUCAUGAGGACAUCUGAAUAACACUAAAGAUUUAUCGCUAAGGGAUGGGGAUGCGUCCGAUUAGGUAGUCGGCGGGGUAACGGCCCACCGAGCCCUCGAUCGGUAGGGGUUCUGAGAGGAAGGUCCCCCACACUGGUACUGAGACACGGACCAGACUCCUACGGGAGGCAGCAGUGAGGAAUAUUGGUCAAUGGGCGUAAGCCUGAACCAGCCAAGUAGCCGUGCAGGAUGACGGCCCUAUGGGUUGUAAACUGCUUUUAUACGGGGAUAAAGUGAGGGACGUGUCCCUUAUUGUAGGUACCGUAUGAAUAAGGACCGGCUAAUUCCGUGCCAGCAGCAGC
rnacentral:rRNA from 1 species